UUCAAUGUCCUGAUUACGCCUACUUGAUACUGAGAUUCUGUAUCUUCCUCCAGUUCCUGGUCCUCAAUAGCAUUCAAUGUUAUUUCCUUGUCGUGAACUUUCAAGGUUAACGUGCACUGAUCCAUGUUGAGCUUGCAUCGACUCGUAUGCAUGAAAGGUCGACCCAGAAUGAUGGGUGCCUCAUUAUCUUCAAGUAUGUCUAGGAUUACAAAAUCAACUGGAAAAUUCAAGCCCGCUAUUGUAACCAACACAUCUUCAGCUAUACCAUAUGCAUCUUUUCU
rnacentral:lncRNA from 1 species